AUUGAACGCUGGCGGCAGGCUUAACACAUGCAAGUCGAGCGAGCCGCGGACGGGUGAGUAAUGUCUGGGAAACUGCCUGAUGGAGGGGAAUAACUACUGGAAACGGUAGCUAAUCCCGCAUACCAUCAGAUGUUCCCCGAUGGGAUUAGCUAGUAGGGGGGGUAAGGGGUCACCUGGGCGACGAUCCCUAGCUGGUCUGAGCGGAUGACCGGCGACACGGGAACUGAGACACGGACCGGACUCCUACGGGAGGCAGCAGGGGGGAAUAUUGCACAAUGGGCGCAAGCCUGAUGCAGCCAUGCCGCGGGUGUGAAGAAGGCCUUGGGGUUGUAAAGCACUUUCAGCGAGGAGGCGUUACUCGCAGAAGAAGCACCGGCUAACUCCGUGCCAGCAGCCGCGGUAAUUC
rnacentral:rRNA from 1 species